UAUGUAGUAUGGAAUUCAAUGACAGCAUUUUACAAGAACUGUGGCGCGGGGGUGGGCCGGGGAGAGAGGCUGAAGCAGACGGGCCGGGCGCCCGGCGCGCUCCCCCCCGCCGGCUCGGAGGGGACCUGUGGACCCGGACAGCAGUGUGGACAGACAGUCACAGCCGCGGCUCCCACCGCAGACCAGGCGUGCCGUGCUCCGGCCCGCCGGCCCGUCUAAGCACAGACCACCGCCCUUCCCCACACCGUCCCCGCGGGCUCCCUCCUCCCAGAAUCCACUGUUUAAACUCGUUUGUGCCAUUUCCUUAGUCUGCUUUCAAAAAGAAAAAAAAGUAGCAAGGGAAUAAACGUCCUACAUGUCAACUUAAAAGUAGAAUUUUUUUUUCUUAACUUAUCCAGGACUUGCUUUGUCCAAAGAGAAUUGGUAGUCAUUCGGUGAAACUUAUUUAAACAUCAUAUUUUGAAAGUAAUCCUUGGGAUUUUUCCCCUAAAACAAGGUAAUGUCUCCCCUAUAUUAUUUAUUAAAACAAGUAAAGUCCAAAAGAAUAGCCAUCAGCUUCUAAACAAGAGUUAGGGUCACUGGAAGUUAGAACUAGAAGGGGCCUGGGGUGUCAUACAGCCCUUCCUCUGCUACAUGUGGAAACAGGCCUGGAAGGGGAUGACCUGCCAAGACCCCCAGUGAGCGGGGUGUGCCAGGAGAGAGUUUCUGGCUGCAGCAAAGGGACCAGUGAGCCCCUGGCAGUGGUAGCGGGAGUCACUCCCCGCCGUCACAGGCCAGCAUGCCCACGAGGAGGCAGGCGCAUGCGGGCCUCUUGGGACGUCUCUGGCCCUGCAGGCCUAAGCUGGCGUCCGUCCCCGCCAGUCCCUCUGCUCUGCACCAGCCUUUGCCACUCCCUGCGGUGAUAAAAGGAGACAGAGCAGUCUACAGAUAUUUGCUCUGAGAAAAGAGUAAAAAGGAGCCAGAAAGACAAUUCAAGCAUUUCCCAGCUAUUCUCCGCUGCUGGGGGGUGCAGCCGGCGUGAUGUCAUGCGUGUGCCUCUCUGAUCUGACUUCCAACAUUUCAUUCAGCAGGAACAAUCGUGGUCGUGUUGGAGACCUUUCUUCUGUCAUAUCUGGCUCUGUGACCCAUUUUGCCAAUGGAAGUUUCAGAGCUCCCCGGGAGAUGGAAGGUAGGAAGAACCAGCCCUGCAGGCCCACCCGCCCUCCCUGGGCCUUGGGCUAAGAACUUUCUUAACCUGGACCUGACUCAAUCCUCGCGAGCACUGGAGGAGACAGAGCCUCCCUCCCAGCAGCAGGACCUGCCGGCGUGAAGAGACGGGUGACGCUGUGCCCAGCCGUCUAGGGUUCACGGCCACCAGGCACAAGCAAGAAAGGCGAGACCCCGUGGUGGUGCCGCAUCACGCGCUCCUGAACAAGACUCGUGUCUGCUGCAUCGGCAGCAUGGUGGGGGGACAGUUCCUUCAGGUGCCGCUUCUGGAGUUCCAGUUUGUCCUCCAGCUCUCGGACUCUCUGAAACACAUCAGGGUAUAAACCAGAAGAAGUAAGUUUUCCAGAAGAACCUCAUUCUUCAUUUGCUACUGUGGUGUAGCAUAGGAGCAGUAAAGGAUGCAGGCACUCAGAGGGGAGCUCCGUGAGCAUUUGUAUGUGUACACCCCUGGGUCCCCACCACCAAACGAGACACAGGACACCCCCAGCACCCAGGAGGCCCCAUCCUGCUUCCGUCAACCCCCACCCCCACACAAAGGAUCUCUGUUCUGACUUCUACCACGAAUGAUGGAUUGUGCCUGUUCUUACAAUUCAUGGAAAUAGAAUUUAUGCAGUGUACACUCUUAAGAUGGGAUCUUUUAAAAAUGUAAACAUCAAGACUAGACCAAAACACGUAGGCACUCUGGGCAGGCCAAUUAGAGCAUGGAUUUAAUGUGACACCAAGUCACAUAUUUGUCCAAGCUUUAUUUAGCUGCAGCCUGGGAGCUGGGGAGAGUGAAGGGGGAGGGCAGGGUAAGUGCAUGCUGGUGCCACCCUCUUAGACCACACUCAGCACGAGGUGCCAGGAUGACCCGCUGUCUCGAUUUGUACUUUCCUAGUGUUAGCAAUAAAAGCACUGAAAGGCCCAAGUUCUGGGAAACCCCUCAGUCCCAGGCAAACCGGGACAGUUGGUCACCCCACUUGGCAUUGCACCUGUUGAACUCCCUGUGAGACACCCACGUGCCUGGGUGGUUUAGGGAACCUGGCAAAUUCCACCUUUUCUAGUCUGUCACGUGCCCAGUCCCUCCAGUGUGGGUGUCCCCAGGCAACUGCCGCUGGCUGCAGCCCCUUGGCAGCCUGACUGUGGAUGGAGACCCCCUUCACCGAGAGGGUGCCGUGAGCCAGGAGGGCUGGGCGGGAAGGCCUCUGUAAUAGCCGCGUGACCCUCGGACCUAAGGUGGGACCUGUGGGAAAGUACUUUGUAACCCAGUGUCAGACUCCACCGCUUUCACAGAACUUGUACACCAAGAGCCAGAGGGAGUGGUUAACACUUUCUCAUGACCUGGAUUCACAUCUCAGCUCUGCUCUGGGCUGUGUGACCUUGGGUGAGCUGCUUACCCUCUCUGAGUCUCACUCUCCUCACCUGUGAGAUUGCAUCAGCAAUCUAUACUCACAGGGCUGGUUGAGUUCCCUCAACCAGCACGUGUUAGGCCCCUUCUACGUGCUGGCCCAUCUGUCUCCCUGCACUGGAAUAUAAGCCUCCUAAGAGCAAAACUUUGGUCACUUCUGGCUCCAGCACUAGAACAGUGCUUGGUACAUAGACAUCAGAAAAAUGCAAAACUAAACAAAAGGCAGUGGAACAGUGUUGAGUGGGGGCUCUCUUGAGAGAGGUGGACAGUGCAGUUGUGGGAUCAGAAUGGGCUGCCGGGAAGGCUCUGAGGCCAGGCUAAGCAACCUGGACUUUACCUCUGGGCACUGGGGAGCCAGUGAGGGCCUGGGGCAGGAGGGGUGGGUGAUGUGGUGCAGUGUGUCAUGAAGGCUUCUGCUGGGACAGAGAAAGUGGGGAGGGUAUUGCAAUCGUGCAUGUUGCAUGGGUUGCAUGAAUGAAUGUGAGGUGCUAUUGUUAAUAUAAAGGGGACAGAAUACAUGGGAAAGGUUGUGCUGAGUCGAAAAGGCCAAGUGCAGCAAAUGCUUGCUAAUAUUCACUGAGUGUUUACUUUGUCAAAGAGACCUCUGAGCACUUUAACUAAAUUCUCCACUGACCACGACCCUCUGCGAUGGGCACUUUGUGUGCUUCGUGGACUUCACAGAAUGAAGCGCUUGCCCCAGGUCACGUCGUAAGUGGGGACAGGAUAUGAAUUCAAACUUGUCAGGGCUCCUAACACUACAUCAUAGCUUUCCAUACAUAAUUUUAAAACGCUAUUUUUGGUGUUCCUGGAGGGGAAGAAAAAUCAUUACAAUGCACGUUUGAAUUCCUCCCUUUUGGGGAAAAACUGUAGGUUUUGCAAUAUUCUUUUGAAGAUACCAGAUUUCUGAAGACCGUAAGUAUUAAAUUAUAGCAAUUUGCAAACAAUUGCAAAACAUGAAUAAUAAACUCUUUUGAAAAUUACAGCUGUUCAAAAAACAUAAAGCAUUUCCUCAAACAUAAUAAACCUGUUCCCACCUCAUGGUCUUUGUGCUUGCUGUUGUCUCUGCCAGGCAGCUAGACAGCUGACCACCUCACAUCACUUUAGACUUUGCCCCUUUCUGACAUUCUCAAUAUUUACAUGGGCACUGCCCGUCCCCUCACUAGAGCAUAAGCACAUACUCCAAUACCCUGUUCGCUGCUCCGUUCCUGGGGGCCAGAGCCAUGCCUGGCACACGGCGGGCACUCAGCACACUGUUGCAAUUCCCAAGGCAGUGUGCUGUCCCCUUGGCCACUCCAAGUGUGGCUCAUCAUGCCACACCAGUGGCACCGGAAUGACGCUGAGACAUUUAGAAAUGCAGGCUCUCAGGCUCUCAGUCUUAUGGAUACACAGCUGUGAGUUACAGAGAGGUGUAAGGGUUUCAUUACCCUUUUCGUUUUGUAGGAAAACGAAUUCUCAUUCCUUCUCCCCUUCCACCUCCCCCUGUCUCC